UUCCUUUUAUUAUGAAUGAAAUAAGACGGUGGAUAUAUGUAAAAAAAAAAACUGGGAUAGACACAUAACAAAACAAUAUUCCAGCCAUAAAGGGUGCCUAUAAUAAAGCUGUGAAUAUAUAUAUAUAGCAUCAACCCUGAUGCCCUUAUGGACAAAUAUUUCUUAUAUCUUUCUCAUGAAAAACAAAGAGAAAAUGCUUUCCUGUUUUGUCUUAGGUUUCUCACGGCACAAGUUUUCUUGAUUUCACUGUAAGAAUACUUAUAGAUACAAGUUUAUAAAGUUUCACACAUAUUUAUUAAAAUAUGUAAAUAGCGAGUAUAUGAGUAGUAUGUUAUUAGCAAUAUUAGUAGUACAGUAUUUGCUGCAUGUGAAUAUUGAAAAAAAAAACAGUAAUUAUACAGUCACAUAUUGGUGAAAUCUUUAACUUUAGUCCAAUUUUUUCCACUUGGUUCGCAUUCUUCAUCUUGCUGUCUAUAGUUUUAUGAAUAGAUAGUUUCAACCUGAAUUUGACAGAUUUAUGUUUCUAUUAUAGAUGAUUGACUUCGAAUCUGUUACUUUGGUAAACUGUGUACUUCUUAUGAUAUGUUUCUCUAUUGUGGUUGAACAUUGAUUU
rnacentral:lncRNA from 1 species